GACAGAGGGGGCAAGCGUUGUCCGGACUGACUGGGCGUAAAGCGCGCGCAGGCGGUCAGAGGCGUCGGUGCUCAAAGUCCACCGCUUAACGGUGGGAGGCGUGCCGAUACGCUCUGACUGGAGGGCGGGCGAGGGUGGUGGAAUUGCCGGUGUAGUGGUGAAAUUCGUAGAUAUUCGGAAGAACACCAGUGGCGAAGGCGGCUCACUGGCUCGAUACUGACGCUGAGGUGCGAAAGCGUGGGGAGCAAACAGG
rnacentral:rRNA from 1 species